AGCGAACGCUGGCGGCAGGCUUAACACAUGCAAGUCGAGCGGGCACUUCGGUGUCAGCGGCAGACGGGUGAGUAACACGUGGGAACGUACCCUUUGGUUCGGAAUAACGCUGGGAAACUAGCGCUAAUACCGGAUACGCCCUUUUGGGGAAAGGCUUGCUGCCGAAGGAUCGGCCCGCGUCUGAUUAGCUAGUUGGUGGGGUAAUGGCCUACCAAGGCGACGAUCAGUAGCUGGUCUGAGAGGAUGAUCAGCCACACUGGGACUGAGACACGGCCCAGACUCCUACGGGAGGCAGCAGUGGGGAAUAUGGGACAAUGGGCGCAAGCCUGAUCCAGCCAUGCCGCGUGAGUGAUGAAGGCCUUAGGGUUGUAAAGCUCUUUUGUCCGGGACGAUAAUGACGGUACCGGAAGAAUAAGCCCCGGCUAACUUCGU
rnacentral:rRNA from 1 species